GGGUCACGGUCUACUAUAACAUUUGGGAUUCAAGUACGGUUCAAAUUUUAUCCAGUCAUCCGUUUUCGCUCCUCCUGCUUCGUGCCAGACUCUAUCCAAAUUCCAGCCCCUCCGCUUCCACGCCAGGAGUUUCUCUUUCAAAAGCGCUUCAGAUUCUCCGGACAAGGCUGCUGUGCUGCUGUGGUUGAGGACCUCCGGAGAAAAUGGCUGCCCAAUUGUCUACCGCCAUUGUAGGCCACUCCUCUUCCUUCAAAUGGUCCAUGGCCAGAAGUCCUCUCGCAGAAACCUACUCUAUGGCAGUUGGAUAUUGUGGAAGGAGAGUUUCCAUGUGUUCAAAUCGCUUCAAACUUGGCUCUUCUGCAAAUUAUGUAAAAAAUCAGGACAGCAUAAGGAUGGGAUUGAAAAGUCUCUCUUCAAAACAGCUAAAAUACAGAGCUGGAGUUUGUAGGUGUGCCACCAUUGAAGAAAUAGAAGCUGAAAAAUCUUUAAUUGAAAGCGAAGCUAAAGAUCGAAUGGAAAAAACUCUUGACACGAUCAAAGCCAACUUUAAUUCAGUGAGAACUGGAAGAGCAAGUCCGGCCAUAUUAGAUCGUAUUGAAGUUGAGUAUUAUGGAAGUCCAGUGAGUUUGAAGAGCAUUGCACAGAUCAGUACUCCAGACAGUAGUUCUCUCCUUGUCCAGCCAUAUGACAAAUCGAGCUUAAAGGUCAUCGAGAAAGCCAUAGUGAGUUCAGAUCUUGAUCUUACUCCUAAUAAUGAUGGGGAGGUGAUUCGAUUAACUAUCCCACCAUUAACAUCCGAAAGAAGGAAGGAACUUUCUAAAGUGGUGGCUAAACAAACUGAGGAAGGCAAGGUUGCAUUGAGGAACAUAAGGAGAGAUGCACUAAAAGCCUAUGAAAAACUUGAAAAGGAGAAAAAACUUUCUGAAGACAAUGUUAAGGACUUGUCUAAUGAUUUGCAGUUUCAGCUUUUUGUAAGGUUACACAUGGCCUUUGAUGGAAUUAAUUGGCUGUUGGACAGCUCCCAGAGGCUAAAGGUCUAGCUGUUGUGAGCUGGCCGACAGCUAGAAACUGACAGAUGAAUAUAUGAAGAAGAUAGAGGCUCUCUAUAAGCAGAAGGAGAAGGAGUUAUUGAAGGUCUAAGAAAUCCUUGUGAACUGUACAUGGAUUGAUGCUCAUUUCAGUUUGCACAGUUAAUGUUGAAUACAGGCUGGUUGUCAUCAUCACCACCACUAUCCUGCUCAAUUUUGUUCUUGAAUUAUGAACUAGGGACGCUGUUAUUAUGCUUUAUAUAUUUGUGUUUAUGCCCUAUUUAUGUACAGGUCAUAUUCUGAAGAUAUUCAUCACAUCCUUGACUACUUUAUUUUA